CUUUGGGGGUUGAACCUGAGACCUUCUGCAUUCAAGGCAGAUGCUCUGCCACGGAGCUACAGCUCUUCUUCUAAGAACAAAACAAGAUCCAGAACUUUGCUUCACAGUCAGCUGAGAGAAAGGGUGACUUCAAAGAGGAAAAUCCAGAAUUGCCCCAUCACUUUUCCUGCACCCACACAGUUGCUGUGCAAUGCAGAAUUUCAUUCACUCUGAACUAACAACUCUCCAAGGUGUCUUGCAAUGUAUCUGGAAAAACCAAAGUCACCAUCACAACAGCAGCUGGAGCAAUAAAACCAAGCCGAGUUGAGCAUCAUUGGACUUGGCAAUGAUACAGAGGAACAGGCUGCCCCUGUCUUGGGUUUCUGACGCUGUGAUAGAAACCCACAAUGGAGAUGGCGCAGCAGAGGAGGAUGCACAGACCGCUUUGCAUUACGGUGCAGAACAUGUCUGGGUUCACUGGGAUUAGAGAUGGCAGCAGUGACCAACCCUUUUUCCCGCAGCCAAAGGGCCCCCUGCCUCCCAUCUGGGGCUAGUGUGUCAGUGAUGGCUGUGGCCACUGCCAACUCCCACCUCACAUGCACACAUCAGAGCACCACAGUGACCAGCUGGCAACCCCUCUCCUGUCAAAUCCUCAGCAAAGGACAAGGGCCUGGGGGGACAAUUUCCUCCCCAUCACAGUGCUGGGAUGGGCAGAGUGCUUGAAAUCUCUUUGCUCAGCCCAGUGCCGAGAUGGGGAGGAAAACUGCAACCGCUCUGCUCUUCAGAUGAGAGGCAACAGGACUUGCUGUUACUUAUGAGAUACUCAAGGUCACUGUCGUCCACCUCCUUCUUCCAAAAUUCCUGGAUCUGGGCAGUGCAAGGAUUCUUCCAUGAAUCAUUCUUUUAAUUUCCCCAGGCAGUUUCAGUUUUUGAUUGACUCACAUUCCUGGGAAUGUUGAACCUUCCUCUUGUUCCUGUGCUGUUACAUAAACAGCCGUUCAGUAGUUGAUGGGGGAAGUUUCUCUAGGGUGUCUCAGUCCAACCAUCUAGUUUCCAACACAUUCCCAUCUAAUUGGGUGGUUGGGGUUGAGAAUGUGCCAAAAAAUACUUCCAAGGCCUUUGGCCGCAGAA